rnacentral:rRNA from 1 species
CACGUAGGGCGCGAGCAUUGUCCGGAAUUAUUGGGCGUAAAGAGCUCGUAGGCGGCCUGUUGCGUCCGCUGUGAAAGCCCGGGGCUUAACCCCGGGUCGGCAGUGGAUACGGGCAGGCUAGAGGUAGGUAGGGGAGAAUGGAAUUCCCGGUGUAGCGGUGAAAUGCGCAGAUAUCGGGAGGAACACCGGUGGCGAAGGCGGUUCUCUGGGCCUUACCUGACGCUGAGGAGCGAAAGCGUGGGGAGCGAACAGG